GUCCCUACGGGUGGCAGCAGUGGGGAAUUUUGGACAAUGGGCGAAAGCCUGAUCCAGCCAUGCCGCGUGCGGGAAGAAGGCCUUCGGGUUGUAAACCGCUUUUGUCAGGGAAGAAAUCUUCUGAGCUAAUACCUCGGGAGGAUGACGGUACCUGAAGAAUAAGCACCGGCUAACUACGUGCCAGCAGCCGCGGUAAUACGUAGGGUGCAAGCGUUAAUCGGAAUUACUGGGCGUAAAGCGUGCGCAGGCGGGUGUGCAAGACAGGUGUGAAAUCCCCGGGCUUAACCUGGGAACUGCACUUGUGACUGCACGGCUUGAGUGCGGCAGAGGGGGAUGGAAUUCCGCGUGUAGCAGUGAAAUGCGUAGAUAUGCGGAGGAACACCGAUGGCGAAGGCAAUCCCCUGGGCCUGCACUGACGCUCAUGCACGAAAGCGUGGGGAGCAAACAGGAUUAGAUACCCUGGUAGUCGC
rnacentral:rRNA from 1 species